rnacentral:rRNA from 1 species
AAUCCAUAGGUUAAUGAGGCGAACCGGGGGAACUGAAACAUCUAAGUACCCCGAGGAAAAGAAAUCAACCGAGAUUCCCCCAGUAGCGGCGAGCGAACGGGGAGGAGCCCAGAGCCUGAAUCAGCAUGUGUGUUAGUGGAAGCGUCUGGAAAGGCGCGCGAUACAGGGUGACAGCCCCGUACACAAAAGCGCAUGUGCUGUGAGCUCGAUGAGUAGGGCGGGACACGUGGUAUCCUGUCUGAAUAUGGGGGGACCAUCCUCCAAGGCUAAAUACUCCUGACUGACCGAUAGUGAACCAGUACCGUGAGGGAAAGGCGAAAAGAACCCCGGCGAGGGGAGUGAAAAAGAACCUGAAACCGUGUACGUACAAGCAGUGGGAGCCUCUUUUAUGGGGUGACUGCGUACCUUUUGUAUAAUGGGUCAGCGACUUAUAUUCUGUAGCAAGGUUAACCGAAUAGGGGAGCCGGAGGGAAACCGAGUCUUAAUUGGGCGUUAAGUUGCAGGGUAUAGACCCGAAACCCGGUGAUCUAGCCAUGGGCAGGUUGAAGGUUGGGUAACACUAACUGGAGGACCGAACCGACUAAUGUUGAAAAAUUAGCGGAUGACCUGUGGCUGGGGGUGAAAGGCCAAUCAAACCGGGAGAUAGCUGGUUCUCCCCGAAAGCUAUUUAGGUAGCGCCUCGUGAAUUCAUCUCCGGGGGUAGAGCACUGUUUCGGCUAGGGGGCCAUCCCGGCUUACCAACCCGAUGCAAACUGCGAAUACCGGAGAAUGUUAUCACGGGAGACACACGGCGGGUGCUAACGUCCGUCGUGAAGAGGGAAACAACCCAGACCGCCAGCUAAGGUCCCAAAGUCAUGGUUAAGUGGGAAACGAUGUGGGAAGGCCCAGACAGCCAGGAUGUUGGCUUAGAAGCAGCCAUCAUUUAAAGAAAGCGUAAUAGCUCACUGGUCGAGUCGGCCUGCGCGGAAGAUGUAACGGGGCUAAACCAUGCACCGAAGCUGCGGCAGCGACGCUUAUGCGUUGUUGGGUAGGGGAGCGUUCUGUAAGCCUGCGAAGGUGGCCUGUGAGGGUUGCUGGAGGUAUCAGAAGUGCGAAUGCUGACAUAAGUAACGAUAAAGCGGGUGAAAAGCCCGCUCGCCGGAAGACCAAGGGUUCCUGUCCAACGUUAAUCGGGGCAGGGUGAGUCGACCCCUAAGGCGAGGCCGAAAGGCGUAGUCGAUGGGAAACGGGUUAAUAUUCCCGUACUUGGUGUUACUGCGAAGGGGGGACGGAGAAGGCUAUGUUGGCCGGGCGACGGUUGUCCCGGUUUAAGCGUGUAGGUGUGUGUUCCAGGUAAAUCCGGUUCACUUUAACACUGAGGCGUGACGACGAGGCACUACGGUGCUGAAGCAACAAAUGCCCUGCUUCCAGGAAAAGCCUCUAAGCAUCAGGUAACAUCAAAUCGUACCCCAAACCGACACAGGUGGUCAGGUAGAGAAUACCAAGGCGCUUGAGAGAACUCGGGUGAAGGAACUAGGCAAAAUGGUGCCGUAACUUCGGGAGAAGGCACGCUGACACGUAGGUGAAGUGAUUUACUCAUGGAGCUGAAGUCAGUCGAAGAUACCAGCUGGCUGCAACUGUUUAUUAAAAACACAGCACUGUGCAAACACGAAAGUGGACGUAUACGGUGUGACGCCUGCCCGGUGCCGGAAGGUUAAUUGAUGGGGUCAGCGCAAGCGAAGCUCCUGAUCGAAGCCCCGGUAAACGGCGGCCGUAACUAUAACGGUCCUAAGGUAGCGAAAUUCCUUGUCGGGUAAGUUCCGACCUGCACGAAUGGCGUAAUGAUGGCCAGGCUGUCUCCACCCGAGACUCAGUGAAAUUGAACUCGCUGUGAAGAUGCAGUGUACCCGCGGCAAGACGGAAAGACCCCGUGAACCUUUACUAUAGCUUGACACUGAACAUUGAGCCUUGAUGUGUAGGAUAGGUGGGAGGCUUUGAAGUGUGGACGCCAGUCUGCAUGGAGCCGACCUUGAAAUACCACCCUUUAAUGUUUGAUGUUCUAACGUGGACCCGUGAUCCGGGUUGCGGACAGUGUCUGGUGGGUAGUUUGACUGGGGCGGUCUCCUCCUAAAGAGUAACGGAGGAGCACGAAGGUUGGCUAAUCCUGGUCGGACAUCAGGAGGUUAGUGCAAUGGCAUAAGCCAGCUUGACUGCGAGCGUGACGGCGCGAGCAGGUGCGAAAGCAGGUCAUAGUGAUCCGGUGGUUCUGAAUGGAAGGGCCAUCGCUCAACGGAUAAAAGGUACUCCGGGGAUAACAGGCUGAUACCGCCCAAGAGUUCAUAUCGACGGCGGUGUUUGGCACCUCGAUGUCGGCUCAUCACAUCCUGGGGCUGAAGUAGGUCCCAAGGGUAUGGCUGUUCGCCAUUUAAAGUGGUACGCGAGCUGGGUUUAGAACGUCGUGAGACAGUUCGGUCCCUAUCUGCCGUGGGCGCUGGAGAACUGAGGGGGGCUGCUCCUAGUACGAGAGGACCGGAGUGGACGCAUCACUGGUGUUCGGGUUGUCAUGCCAAUGGCACUGCCCGGUAGCUAAAUGCGGAAGAGAUAAGUGCUGAAAGCAUCUAAGCACGAAACUUGCCCCGA